UACGUAGGGUGCGAGCGUUGUCCGGAAUUAUUGGGCGUAAAGGGCUCGUAGGCGGUUUGUCACGUCGGGAGUGAAAACUCGGGGCUCAACCCCGAGCCUGCUUCCGAUACGGGCAGACUAGAGGUAUGCAGGGGAGAAUGGAAUUCCUGGUGUAGCGGUGAAAUGCGCAGAUAUCAGGAGGAACACCGGUGGCGAAGGCGGUUCUCUGGGCAUUACCUGACGCUGAGGAGCGAAAGUGUGGGGAGCGAGCAGG
rnacentral:rRNA from 1 species